UAAUACAGAGGGUGCGAGCGUUAAUCGGAAUUACUGGGCGUAAAGAGUGCGUAGGUGGUUGGAUAAGUCAGAUGUGAAAGCCCUGGGCUUAACCUGGGAAUUGCGUUUGAUACUGUUUAGCUAGAGGAUGGGAGAGGGAAGUGGAAUUUCCGGUGUAGCGGUGAAAUGCGUAGAUAUCGGAAGGAACACCAGUGGCGAAGGCGGCUUCCUGGACCAUAACUGACACUGAGGCACGAAAGCGUGGGGAGCGAACAGG
rnacentral:rRNA from 1 species